rnacentral:rRNA from 1 species
AAAGGAAUAGACGGGAGCCCGCACAAGCAGUGGAGUAUGUGGUUUAAUUCGACGCAACGCGAAGAACCUUACCAGGAUUUGACAUCCCGAGAACCCGACGUAAUGGUUGGGGUGCCCUUCGGGGAAUUCGGAGACAGGUGGUGCAUGGUUGUCGUCAGCUCGUGUCGUGAGAUGUUGGGUUAAGUCCCGCAACGAGCGCAACCCUUACGGUUAGUUGCUACGCAAGAGCACUCUAGCCGGACUGCCGUUGACAAAACGGAGGAAGGUGGGGAUGACGUCAAAUCAUCAUGCCCCUUAAGUUCUGGGCCACACACGUACUACAAUGGCGAAAACAACGGGAAGCGAAGCCGCGAGGCGGAGCAAAUCCCAUAAAAGUCGUCCCAGUUCGGAUAGCAGGCUGCAACCCGCCUGCUUGAAGUUGGAAUUGCUAGUAAUCGCGGAUCAGCAUGCCGCGGUGAAUACGUUCCCGGGCUUUGUACACACCGCCCGU